UACCAGCCCCCCGAGUGGUCGGCCCGAUUAUUGGGCCUAAAGCAUCCGUAGCCGGUUUUACAAGUCCUCCGUUAAAUCCAGCUGCUUAACAGAUGGGCUGCGGAGGAUACUAUAAGACUAGGAGGCAGGAGAGGCAAGCGGUACUCAGUGGGUAGGGGUAAAAUCCGUUGAUCCAUUGAAGACCACCAGUGGCGAAGGCGGCUUGCCAGAAUGCGCUCGACGGUGAGGGAUGAAAGCUGGGGGAGCAAACCGG
rnacentral:rRNA from 1 species